rnacentral:rRNA from 1 species
GACAGAGGGUGCAAGCGUUAUCCGGAUUUACUGGGUUUAAAGGGUGUGUAGGCGGACUUUUAAGUCAGUGGUGAAAUCUCCGGGCUCAACCCGGAAACUGCCAUUGAUACUAUUGGUCUUGAAUAUUGUGGAGGUGGGCGGAACGGGUCAUGUAGCGGUGAAAUGCUUAGAGAUGACCCGGAACACCGAUUGCGAAGGCAGCCCACUACGCAAUGAUUGACGCUGAGGCACGAAAGCGUGGGGAUCAAACAGG